AGUGACCGCUUUCUUUCUUCCUAACACAUGCCAGUCGAACGGCAGCACAGUAAGAGCUUGCUCUUACGGGUGGCGAGUGGCGGACGGGUGAGGAAUACAUCGGAAUCUACUUUUUCGUGGGGGAUAACGUAGGGAAACUUACGCUAAUACCGCAUACGACCUACGGGUGAAAGCAGGGGAUCUUCGGACCUUGCGCGAUUGAAUGAGCCGAUGUCGGAUUAGCUAGUUGGCGGGGUAAAGGCCCACCAAGGCGACGAUCCGUAGCUGGUCUGAGAGGAUGAUCAGCCACACUGGAACUGAGACACGGUCCAGACUCCUACGGGAGGCAGCAGUGGGGAAUAUUGGACAAUGGGCGCAAGCCUGAUCCAGCCAUACCGCGUGGGUGAAGAAGGCCUUCGGGUUGUAAAGCCCUUUUGUUGGGAAAGAAAAGCAGCAGGUUAAUACCCCGCUGUUCUGACGGUACCCAAAGAAUAAGCAACGGCUAACUUCGUG
rnacentral:rRNA from 1 species